rnacentral:tRNA from 10 species
CUUGUAAAGUCCUUCUUAGAGAGACAGAUCCUUUCUAAGGGGAAGAUAUAAUACACGACAGGUAGAACUUGUGUGCAGAGCGCGGUCCAUGCCCAGUGUAUUGAGAAGGUGGGCAGAAAAUCUCCUGGAAAAGCAUGCAUGGAAACACAUCUCCCAGAGAGACAACUGAACAAUGACUCCUCGUGGGCUUCUAUUUGGAGCUCAGCAGGUGAGAGAUUGCACGACUUCCUUGGAUUGCACCAGCAAGAAUUCUAUCUCUGCUGGCUGCAGCUCUUCCCAUGUUUGGACGACAAUGAUUAAAGGCCCAUGCGUUUCCAGCGAAGUGUUGACGAUUGGCUGGCAGGCUUGAAAACACCCACUUUUCCAGAGGAACCAGCACGAGGUUGCCUUCUAAUUCACGUGUCUCAUCAUUUCACUGAAGAUGUAUGGAACGCUUCCCCCUUUCAAAGUGUUAAGUACUUUGCUGUCAGCAUCACCAUCACAGCCUGCGAACUCGACACUAAAGAGAGAGAAGUGGAAAAGGCAAAGUAAGAACAAAAGCCAGCCACGUCACAGGGCUCAGAACUCGUCCUGACAGCUGGCCCCUCCCUCCCCAGGCCUGACAUGAAAGGGUCCUUUCCAAGCUCGCUGGAGACUCUCUGACCCCCAUUUCUUCCGGUCCUGAGCCCCAGCUAUUGUGGUUUCCCUGCGGACACCUCACAUAUCACCGACAGCAGACCAGAAUCCCGAGCCUUCUGUUCUUCACAUAUUUCCCACACCUUUUUUACCCUACAACUGUCAUCUUUGGCUUUCUUUAAAAAUUUCUACUCUUUAUAUUACGAGGUGUUAAAAACAGGGAGGUGGGGGCGUGGAUCUUAGCUCAAUUAGGGAACUCUGGAGUCAGCUUUCUCCCGACAGCAACACCCCCAUUCCUCACCCUGCCCCAAGAUCAAGUUCUAAACCUGGAGCGUUCCACCAACCCGCUUGCCCUCAUUCUCUGCGGUGCAUACCCCCAGAUCUCUCCUGUUAAGUCUCCCAGUUAUCCCCAAUUUCGUGAUCUGUGGUUGGUGCUCUAAAGAAACAGGCAGGAUCUCGCUAGCACCCUAAUCUUGAAGCUCUGACUGCGUGGGUCAGGGAGCUCUGAGAAAGGAAAGCCUGUGCAGAAGGUUGAGGUAGAAGGAGGUGUGUGCAUCGCAGCUUAAUCCCCACUCUCUGGGCUGCAGGUGAUUCUAAGGCACUCGCAAGUACACCACAUAUAGUACACGCACUCCUCCGUGCCUUUUCUCAGGCUCUUUCCUCUGCCUGGGAUUUCUUUCUCUACUUUUUUUUUGUGGGGAGAUAUUCUUGGUUCUCAUUCAUGGAUCAUUCAGGGUUAACCCCUUUUUUCAUGCUUUCCCCAGUGAUCUUGAGGCUGACUUAAUCCCUCUCUCCUGUGAUUCCCUGUUGCCCUUAGCCAUAGACAAAGCAUGUGGGGACAGGGGGUGGUUCUUCCACUAGUUUGCAGGCUUGUCUGUGAGAUCUGGUUCUCAUUUAUCUUAACAUUCCUAGUGCCAAGAGUGAUACCAAGACACAAAGUAGGUCCUGAAUGAGGCCAGAGUGAAUGUAACUCCCAAAGCAAGCCAGCACUUUCCAAGGGUCACCUUGACCUUUCUAAACACAGUCCCAGGGCUUUGUGGGAAGAGGACUGACAUCUAUUAGUACCCACUAUGUGCUAAACGCUGCGAUAAGUCCCUUACACCUGUUCCUUCACUUAAUUCUUAGAGUAAGUGAAAUGGGCAUUUUCAUUCUUUUUAAGAGAUGCAGAAUUACUUACAGAGGUUAAGGUAGCUUAGGCUGAAAAAUUGCAGAUUUCCUAUGCAAACCCACGUUUCUCUGGCUCUAAAGGAUGUAUGUUUUCCCAGCCUUUGCUGUCUCCUCAGGGAGCUGAGCAGGAAAAGAGUAUUUCCUCUUCGCCAGGAGCACCCACUUCUGAGACCUACUUUGUUCCAGCUUCAUGGGGAUUUGUCCAUCCCUUUUGCAGAGAUUGAUGGACCCUGCAUGGGGGAGAUCGGGUACAUUCCCUUCCUUCAGGGUACCUCUUUUAAGUCUCUGAUGUAAACAAACAAUUUCUGACCAAAUCCCAGUUUCUCUGUUAUGCACUGUCUUCUAUUUUCCGGCCACGUCUGCAAUCGGUUGUAUGGAGAAAGUCUGCCUGGCUCUGGAGUGGAAACUCCACGAAUUCACUUUGAAUGUGGGGAAUUCACAAUCGCUGCUUGAAAACAGUCCCUCUGAGCUGGCCCACCCCGCUUCUCUCUUGUUAAAAUGCCACUUAUUUGGCUUUUCAGCCAUAUACAGGUUUUAUACGAUCUAUUAUGUGGUGCUUUAAUUACUGUUGUUUAUUGAUUAUGAUUGUAUUCGAAUUUCCAUGGAUUGCCAAGAAUGACUUGGCAAAGGGCACACAAAGACAAUAUUAUAAUAUCAUUACCAGGAAGGCAGUAGGCCUGGGUUACAGUGUGAAAAGCUAAGUAGCAACUGAAGGGAAGGGACGGUCCUCCUGACUGGUGUGGCUGGCGUGUAAUUGUGAGUCUGCAGUGGGUUGCUCAUGGGGCCUUUGUUUGGAGUAAAUGCUCCUAGAAGGAAGCAGCUGAGAAUCUUCCCCAGUGUUGUGUAGCACUUGGUAGGACUUCAGUGAAAUGUGCUGUACUUCCCGUACAAAAAUAGCAGCCCGCUCUCAGUGUGUUUGCCAGCAAUAAUGAUGCCUGUGCUGGGAUCCGGCUAUAUAUACCUUUUCACCGGAUUCCCACUGUGAUCAGGGCCACAGAUCCAGAGAAAGAAACUGUCCCACAUGAGGACCAUUGCUCUCCACUCAUCAGCCUCAUAUUAUAAGUGGCCACCAGCAGGCAGGGUUCAUUUACACUAAACCUCAAUGCUCUGUGAAAGGGCUUUGCUAGAAGCUGUACUCGCUGGACCAUCACAGCUCGCUUAUUGGCCACUGAUUUAUUGAAAUUUUCAUAAACGCCCGUCCUGUGGUAGGUACUCCUCUCUCCCACCCGCCAACCUUAGUAGUUAGGGAUAAGGAGUACAUGGUCGUAGCUACAAGGAAUUUAAAGAUCUAGCGCCUAUCUUCAUGGAGCUCAGCAUCUGGUGGGGGUAGACAGAAACCGAAAACAACAACGUCACCCAAUAGGUGUUCAGGGUUUGACUUCAUCACCCUCUACACUCUGAUAAUACUAGGUCAUUACCAAGUGGUCUGCAUUCACGUUCGGAGCUGCAGAAUCAAAAUGUCAAUGCAUUCCCUGCCCCCAGAAUCACAUAUUUAUUCUCAGAAAAGAUGAGCUAAAAAUCAGCUCUUUGAGGAAGGAGCCACUUCGCUUGCUCACAGUUCCAGUGGUUACUAGUCUCUGCCUUCAGUCAGAGAAGGCAUCCUGCUUCUUCCUUCAGAACUUUGGGCUUUUUGGCAGAAAAGAUACUGGAGGAAAAGUGUAGAUCUGCCAGAAUUGAAUAAAAACAUCGUCAGAGAGGACAGAUAAAAGGGAACAGAGCAGCAGGUCCUAAAUGGGCAGAUAGGCAGCCCUAUGAAGAGAGCCGCCUUCAGGGUAGUAGGUCGAGGACUGAGCAGAGGUCUGGGGUGGUGGGCAUGGGGGGAGAGUCAGGGCACAGCCUUCUCCACGGAGAAAUGGAGGAAGCCAGCCGUAUGUGUGCAGGGUGGCUAGGUGCCAGGCGGGCACGGGGAAUCUUCAAGGGGAUAAAUACUCAGAGAUUUCCAACCCUUUUGGGAUGAGUGCCAGGGAAAGAGGCCAAGAUUCCAGGGAACACAGCCAGGACAGGGUUAUUAUAAUCCCUAGGAGGAUUCAUUUGCCAGCUACUGAAGCAAAAGCAAGCAGCACCCUGAAAUGGAGACUAGCUAUUUCGGAGCAAUUAGCCAUUGGUGCCUGCUGCUGUCUUUGGAGAAGCUCCAGAAGCCAGUAGGGUAGAAAGGAGGGCAGGGAGCCCUGGUCUGCUGCAGGGGAGAUGACUCCAUCUUUGGUAUCUCCCCACCUGACAGCUCCCUGCAAAUCCAACACCAGACCUGAGAUCCGAAGGGCUUCUGCUCCUACUGGGUUCAUGCCCUGCCCUCAGGACAGCACUGAGCCAUCACAGGCGACACAUAAACAGAACAGUCCCUGGCUGCCCAAGAGCGUAAAGUCCAGAAUGUUAGAGCUGACCAGAUUCUCUUCUCACAUCAGGAUUUUGAGCCUGGCACACAUUAAUACUUUAGAGAAUUUGCCUUUGGGGGACAAUGAAUCACCCCAAAUUAUUCUAUGUAUACGCAUUGUAUAUGUAUAUGUAUAAAAUUGUUCUAUGUAUAUGCAUUUUUUUUUCUGGUGAGAAGAUCCAAAUAUUUAUU